UGUUGAAUUUUUUUUUUCUGUGCAGAAGCUUUUUUGUUUGGUAUAUUCACUUUUGUCUAUUUUUGCUUUUGUUGCCUGUUUUUUUUUUUUCCUGCUCCAGUCAAUGAAAGGGACACUUUAUUGAAGCUCCAGGGCCAUGGGUCCUGGGCAUGAGGCUGCCUUUAAAGGCAAGAAGAGCCAUAUUUGACCUUGUUUGGACACAGGUUGUUGAUGUGGCUACACUUCUUCUUGCCGCAGUUGACAGCAUGGGGAUACAGGGCAAUUCCCAGAAGACCUUGGAUUUGGAAUGACUUGGCAAUUAUUUGUAUAAGUUGGACAAAAAGAGAAGACUGAGGAGACUGGACAACAUAUAAAUGCAGGAGGAUGUUCAGUCUGGGAUGCCAGCAGACACGUGAUUUCAUAGAAAAAUCUUGAAAGUGAUUCCAUGGUCAGAAAUUUGAUUCUAUGGAUUUGCAUAAACUAUCUGUUUGGCUGGCCCAACUACUUGGAGAGUUUGCAGUAUAAAAACAGCACAAAAGGGUGGAGCGUGUCCACACUGGGCAAGAGAUUGACAAGCCCAUUUGUCACACCCAGGGGUUUAAUACUGAUGCAAAAGCUGUUGGUGAAUCAUGGAAUUGAGGGACCCCUUUGGGGAAACUUGUGGACAUGUGAGAAUGGAAGACAAUCACCCUGUGACACCACACUGACUUCACACCAUGUGAACCACAGCAGAGGUGGCAAGCACAACCUUGUGAUGCUGGAUGCAUAACUGAGUUACCACCUGAGGAUGCGCAUCUCUUGGGAACAUCAUCUUUCACUGCCACACUUCCUCACACCAUGCAGCCAAUCAAAGUGUUUCUCCCAACAAACACAGAGCCCUCAACCUGAGAAGAAUUCUGGUAAGUUUGUCUCCUUACAUUUCCCAUAAUGCUUUUAGUACCCCUUAUAACUAGUCCCUUGGAAAUGGCCUGAAUUAGAAGCAGGACCAGGGUGUCUCAAGUCAAAAUACAGUUUUCAGUCCUAGUUCUCUG
rnacentral:lncRNA from 1 species